rnacentral:rRNA from 1 species
GAUUAGAUACCCUAUUAUCAAGGAGAAAUGUGUGUACAAUCUAGUAGGCAAGGUGAGUAGAAAGCUGAGAAGUUAAGAAGCAUGGCGGUCUGUUGGCAAGAUAGAGGGAUAUGCCUAGUAAGUGAAACCGCACAGAUCCCUUACUUUCCUUGGAGUGAGUCAUUUUGUACACCGCUAUCUGAAAUAUGGGGCAAGUCGGCCUGUUUUUUAUCUCAUGUUAGUUUAUCGUUGUAAUCAAGUUGUGUGAAUGUCAAGUGCAGAAUCAUUGUAUUGCAUCUACGUUGAUAUGUAAGACCUAUAAGUUAAGUUGAGGUGCAGACUAUAGGAGAGUCAUGGUGUGUUCCAGUGUUAUGUUUAGAGUUAUAGGAUGUAAAUAUAUCCAUGUAGUCAUAGAAUUUAUAAGUAAAGAGGGCUCACAAUCCUCUCUUGAAAGGUGCAACAGCAGAUGUACACAUCG